UUUGUUGCAACACUGCCAAUAUUCUUCUGUCAGUUCAUGCAGUGUGAUAGCUGACAAUGAACCAGCAUGUAUAUUGUUCCAUAGUGAAGUGCAUUCUUUGGAACAAGAACACACAACUAGAUGACUCACAUUCAGCAAGAUUUAUAAUGAAAAGUUCAACAAUCAUAUCCCUGCCAGUUUCCCUGUCAUAACCAUCAUCUUGCAGGUGCUGAGAUGCUGUCUGUUGCCUUAUGUGACUGCUGUAAUACAUCACCCAACCACAGAAAACACAGUUACAUUAUAUAUCCCCAAGAAUGCUCACAAUGCUGUCCACUAAUGGUGUAAGCAGCUGGACCACUGUUCAGAAUGACAGGCGCAUGUUUCAAUCCAUGACCCUCUGAGCAAAUUGUGGGACUUAGUGAAGUGCCAGACUACAGACCCAAGGUCUGGGGUUCAAUCCUAAUGCAUAUGUUUAUUAAUGUGAGGUGAUAAUUAGGAAACAGAUGUCAAGAUGUAAAACAAACUGCUGUUAUAUUUUAACCAUAACAUGUAGGAGAUAAAUAUUUGUGAUACAUAGUAGUGUGACAUACACUGACCUGAAAUGCUAGUAAUUGUAUGAUAACAUACUGCAUUAAAACACAGUUUUCCAGUAUGUAAACCCUUCUUUUGUGACAGAAUUCUCAAAUAAAAUUUUCGGUUUCCUUGCCAUGUCAAGACACAGAGAU